GACUGGGGCGGUACACCUGUCAAAGCGUAACGCAGGUGUCCUAAGGCGAGCUCAGGGAGGACGGAAACCUCCUGUGGAGCAGAAGGGCAAAAGCUCGCUUGAUCGG
rnacentral:ncRNA from 1 species